AUUUUAAAGAGAGUUUGAUCCUGGCUCAGGACGAACGCUGGCGGCGUGCCUAAUACAUGCAAGUCGAACGAACGGAGGAAGAGCUUGCUCUUCCAAAGUUAGUGGCGGACGGGUGAGUAACACGUGGGCAACCUGCCUGUAAGUUGGGGAUAA
rnacentral:rRNA from 1 species